rnacentral:rRNA from 1 species
AUUGAACGCUGGCGGCGUGCCUAACACAUGCAAGUCGAGCGGCAGCGCGGGAGCAAUCCUGGCGGCGAGCGGCGGACGGGUGAGUAACGCUUGGGAAUCUGCCUAUUAGUGGGGGACAACCCGGGGAAACUCGGGCUAAUACCGCAUACGCACUACGGUGGAAAGCCGGGGACCGCAAGGCCUGGCGCUAACAGAUGAGCCCAAGUCGGAUUAGCUAGUUGGUAGGGUAACGGCCUACCAAGGCGACGAUCCGUAACUGGUCUGAGAGGACGACCAGUCACACCGGAACUGAGACACGGUCCGGACUCCUACGGGAGGCAGCAGUGGGGAAUAUUGGACAAUGGGGGAAACCCUGAUCCAGCGACGCCGCGUGGGUGAAGAAGGCCUGCGGGUUGUAAAGCCCUUUCAGUGGGGAAGAAAAGCCUCGACCUAAUACGUCGGGGUCUUGACGUAACCCAUAGAAGAAGCACCGGCUAACUCUGUGCCAGCAGCCG